rnacentral:rRNA from 1 species
CGCUCUCAGAUGGGCCCGCGUCUCAUUAGCUUGUUGGUGGGGUAACGGCCUACCAAGGCGACGAUGAGUAGCUGGUCUGAGAGGAUGAUCAGCCACACUGGGACUGAAACACGGCCCAGACUCCUACGGGAGGCAGCAGUGGGGAAUAUUGCGCAAUGGGCGAAAGCCUGACGCAGCGACGCCGCGUGAGGGAAGAAGGCCUUCGGGUCGUAAACCUCUGUCAGGGGGGAAGAAACCAUUGGGGUCGAACAGGCCUCUUUGCUGACGGUACCUCUGAAGGAAGCACCGGCUAACUCCGUGCCAGCAGCCGCGGUAAUACGGAGGGUGCAAGCGUUAAUCGGAAUCACUGGGCGUAAAGCGCACGUAGGCGGUGUCGUAAGUCGGACGUGAAAUCCCUCGGCUCAACCGGGGAACUGCGUUUGAUACUGCUUUGCUUGAGUGCCGGAGAGGGUGGCGGAAUUCCAGGUGUAGGAGUGAAAUCCGUAGAUAUCUGGAGGAACACCGGUGGCGAAGGCGGCCACCUGGCCGGCAACUGA